rnacentral:rRNA from 1 species
UAUUGGUCAAUGGGCGUAAGCCUGAACCAGCCAAGUAGCGUGAAGGACGACGGCCCUACGGGUUGUAAACUUCUUUUAUAAGGGAAUAAAGUGCGUUACGUGUAAUGUUUUGUAUGUACCUUAUGAAUAAGCAUCGGCUAAUUCCGUGCCAGCAGCCGCGGUAAUACGGAAGAUGCGAGCGUUAUCCGGAUUUAUUGGGUUUAAAGGGAGCGUAGGCGGGCUUUUAAGUCAGCGGUCAAAUGUCACGGCUCAACCGUGGCCAGCCGUUGAAACUGUAAGCCUUGAGUCUGCACAGGGCACAUGGAAUUCGUGGUGUAGCGGUGAAAUGCUUAGAUAUCACGAAGAACUCCGAUCGCGAAGGCAUUGUGCCGGGGCAUAACUGACGCUGAGGCUCGAAAGUGCGGGUAUCAAACAGGAUUAGAUACCCUGGUAGUCCGCACGGUAAACGAUGAAUGCUCGCUAUGGGCGAUACAAUGUCCGUGGCCAAGCGAAAGCGUUAAGCAUUCCACCUGGGGAGUACGCCGGCAACGGUGAAACUCAAAGGAAUUGACGGGGGCCCGCACAAGCGGAGGAACAUGUGGUUUAAUUCGAUGAUACGCGAGGAACCUUACCCGGGCUUGAAUUGCAGGUGCAUGGGCCAGAGACGGCCCUUUCCUUCGGGACUCCUGUGAAGGUGCUGCAUGGUUGUCGUCAGCUCGUGCCGUGAGGUGUCGGCUUAAGUGCCAUAACGAGCGCAACCCUUCUCCCCAGUUGCCAUCGGGUAAUGCCGGGCCCUCUGGGGACACUGCCAUCGUAAGAUGCGAGGAAGGUGGGGAUGACGUCAAAUCAGCACGG